CCAAUAGCGUAUAUUAAAGUUGUUGCAGUUAAAAAGCUCGUAGUUGAAUUUCGGGACCAUCAUGUCGGUCGUGCCUCGGUACGUACUGGCAUUGUUGGUUUCUCCCUUCUGACGAACCAUGAUGUCAUUUAUUUGGUGUUGUGGGAAAUCAGGACUGUUACUUUGAAAAAAUUAGAGUGUUUAAAGCAGGCUCACGCUUGAAUACAUUAGCAUGGAAUAAUGAAAUAGGACGUUUGAUUCUAUUUUGUUGGUUUCUAGGAUCGAUGUAAUGAUUAAUAGGGAUAGUUGGGGGCAUUAGUAUUCAAUUGUCAGAGGUGAAAUUCUUGGAUUUAUUGAAGACUAACUACUGCGAAAGCAUUUGCCAAGGAUGUUUUCAUUAAUCAAGAACGAAAGUUAGGGGAUCGAAGACGAUCAGAUACCGUCGUAGUCUUAACCAUAAACUAUGCCGACUAGGGAUCGGAUGAUGUUAAUUUUUUAAUGACUCAUUCGGCGCCUUACG
rnacentral:misc_RNA from 1 species